rnacentral:rRNA from 1 species
UACGUAGGGUGCGAGCGUUGUCCGGAAUUAUUGGGCGUAAAGAGCUCGUAGGCGGUGUGUCACGUCGGCCGUGAAAACCUGCAGCUUAACUGUGGGCGUGCGGUCGAUACGGGCAUCACUGGAGUUCGGCAGGGGAGACUGGAAUUCCUGGUGUAGCGGUGAAAUGCGCAGAUAUCAGGAGGAACACCGGUGGCGCAGGCGGGUCUCUGGGCCGAUACUGACGCUGAGGAGCGAAAGCGUGGGGAGCAAACAGG